rnacentral:rRNA from 1 species
AACGAACGCUGGCGGCAGGCCUAACACAUGCAAGUCGAGCGCGCCCUUCGGGGUGAGCGGCGGACGGGUGAGUAACGCGUGGGAACGUGCCCUUUUCUACGGAAUAGCCUCGGGAAACUGAGAGUAAUACCGUAUACGCCCUUUGGGGGAAAGAUUUAUCGGAAAAGGAUCGGCCCGCGUUGGAUUAGGUAGUUGGUGGGGUAAUGGCCUACCAAGCCGACGAUCCAUAGCUGGUUUGAGAGGAUGAUCAGCCACACUGGGACUGAGACACGGCCCAGACUCCCACGGGAGGCAGCAGUGGGGAAUCUUAGAAAAUGGGGGCAACCCUGAUCUAGCCAUGCCGGGUGAGUGAGGAAGGCUUUAGGGUUGUAAAGCUCUUUCAGCGGGGAAGAUAAUGACGGUACCAGCAGAAGAAGCCCCGGCUACCCCCGU